rnacentral:rRNA from 1 species
UAGCUUGCUAGAUUGAUGGCGAGUGGCGAACGGGUGAGUAAUACAUCGGAACGUGCCCUGUAGUGGGGGAUAACUAGUCGAAAGAUUAGCUAAUACCGCAUACGACCUGAGGGUGAAAGUGGGGGACCGCAAGGCCUCAUGCUAUAGGAGCGGCCGAUGUCUGAUUAGCUAGUUGGUGGGGUAAAGGCCCACCAAGGCGACGAUCAGUAGCUGGUCUGAGAGGACGAUCAGCCACACUGGGACUGAGACACGGCCCAGACUCCUACGGGAGGCAGCAGUGGGGAAUUUUGGACAAUGGGCGAAAGCCUGAUCCAGCAAUGCCGCGUGUGUGAAGAAGGCCUUCGGGUUGUAAAGCACUUUUGUCCGGAAAGAAAUGGCUCUGGUUAAUACCUGGGGUCGAUGACGGUACCGGAAGAAUAAGGACCGGCUAACUACGUGCCAGCAGCCGCGGGUAAUACGUAGGGUCCAAGCGUUAAUCGGAAUUACUGGGCGUAAAGCGUGCGCAGGCGGUUGUGCAAGACCGAUGUGAAAUCCCCGAGCUUAACUUGGGAAUUGCAUUGGUGACUGCACGGCUAGAGUGUGUCAGAGGGGGGUAGAAUUCCACGUGUAGCAGUGAAAUGCGUAGAGAUGUGGAGGAAUACCGAUGGCGAAGGCAGCCCCCUGGGAUAACACUGACGCUCAUGCACGAAAGCGUGGGGAGCAAACAGGAUUAGAUACCCUGGUAGUCCACGCCCUAAACGAUGUCAACUAGUUGUUGGGGAUUCAUUUCCUUAGUAACGUAGCUAACGCGUGAAGUUGACCGCCUGGGGAGUACGGUCGCAAGAUUAAAACUCAAAGGAAUUGACGGGGACCCGCACAAGCGGUGGAUGAUGUGGAUUAAUUCGAUGCAACGCGAAAAACCUUACCUACCCUUGACAUGCCACUAACGAAGCAGAGAUGCAUUAGGUGCUCGAAAGAGAAAGUGGACACAGGUGCUGCAUGGCUGUCGUCAGCUCGUGUCGUGAGAUGUUGGGUUAAGUCCCGCAACGAGCGCAACCCUUGUCUCUAGUUGCUACGAAAGGGCACUCUAGAGAGACUGCCGGUGACAAACCGGAGGAAGGUGGGGAUGACGUCAAGUCCUCAUGGCCCUUAUGGGUAGGGCUUCACACGUCAUACAAUGGUGCAUACAGAGGGUUGCCAAGCCGCGAGGUGGAGCUAAUCCCAGAAAAUGCAUCGUAGUCCGGAUCGUAGUCUGCAACUCGACUACGUGAAGCUGGAAUCGCUAGUAAUCGCGGAUCAGCAUUCCGCGGUGAAUACGUUCCCGGGUCUUGUACACACCGCCCGUCGCACCAUGGGAGUGGGCUU